AUGGUGGGAAUCGAGACGGCCGCCGCGCUCCCGGACGACGUCGUCCUGGAGGUCCUUGUGCGCGUGGCCGACGUCGCCACGCUGUUUCGCUGCGCCACGGUAUGCAAGCUGUGGCGUAGGCUCAUCGCCGACUGCUCCUUCCUCCGCCGCCGCCCCGAGGAUUAA
rnacentral:rRNA from 1 species